UCGCAAAGUCGCAAAGCGACGCGGCAAAAAUGCAAUUUACGAACACACGCACACCACGAUGACCAACAGCAGCAAAGAGCCAUCGGUUAUUCCUGCGCGAUUGGUACCGGUAACCGGCUUCAUACCGCCAUCGCGUCGUCGGAAAAAGUUUUCUGGCAAACGCACGAGGUGCAAAAAGUGCUUUAGCAAGCGAGUGGCGAAAAGUGAUUCGGGGGGAGUGCGGCGCAGAUCCCGACCGCUAGGAAAAGCACUCGCGCAAAUCCCGACCGCUAGGAAACGCACUCAGAGAAACGUGUGAAAACCACCCCUUCUUCCGUUCGGCAGAAGCAAUCUUCCAUCCAUUCCGGUGGACCAAAGCCGCCAAGAGCAUUCGUCGAUUUGAACAGGUUUCAGCGGACAGAAGAACUCCAUUCCGAAGAUUUGACGAAGACGGUUCCCGUGACACAGCAAACGACGACGACCUGUCGCAUUGGAGGCCAUCGUUUCAGUCUAAAGGCAUCUUGGCAGCGCAAAAAUCACUCCACUGAUUGGGGUUUUUGUACUGGACUUUGUUUUUAUGCCGGAUUUUGUUAUCGUGCCGGAUCGAAUUCGUCCGCCGUCGGCGCGCGAUCGUUGCUGUUUGGCUGGAGGAAAGGGGCGUGCUAACCUCGGCGAGGGCAUCGUAGCUAUCGGUGGGGACCGGCUUCGAAACCGUCGAGUGGUGUGCAUUGGUGCCAGUUUGGUGACUGGUGUACGGAGACAUCGAAGACUGCCUCGGAGGGACCCCAUCCAGCAACCCGGUCGUACUGGACGGCCAGAGGGGUCUCCAGCAGAGGAGUACCGUCGGUGAGAACCUCGGGAACGGCAUGCGAGAUGAUCGCAGCACAGGCGAAACGUAGGGGGACGCCCCGUUAGGUGGUACCGUGAGUACUGAACAAAUGUUAGUUUGUAAGAUGGAAGAAGUAGAGAAGAGGAAGUAAGACGAAGAGAGUAGGGAUGAGAAGGCAGUUAGAGGAAGAUUAGGGCAAAUGCCCCAAAUAUAUGUAUUGAUUUGA